AGAGAGAUAGACAGGUUAGAGAGAGACAGACAGGUUAGAGACAGACAGGUUAGAGAGAGACAGACAGGUUAGAGAGACAGACAGGUUAGAGAGAUAGACAGAUUAGAGAGAGAGACAGGUUAGAGAGAGAGACAGGUUAGAGAGAGAGAGAGACAUACAGCUUAGAGAGACAGACAGGUUAGAGAGAGAGAGAGAGACAUACAGCUUAGAGAGACAGACAGGUUAGGGAGAGACAGACAGGUUAGAGAGAUAGACAGGUUAGAGAGAGACAGACAGGUUAGAGACAGACAGGUUAGAGAGAGACAGGUAAGAGAGAGAGCGACAGGUUAGAGACAGACAGGUUAGAGAGAGACAGAGAGACAGACAGGUUAGAGAGAGACAGGUUAGAGACAGACAGGUUGGAGAGACAGACAGGUUAGAGAGAGAGCGACAGGUUAGAGACAGACAGGUUAGAGGCAGACAGGUUAGAGAGGCAGACAGGUUAGAGACAGACAGGUUAGAGAGACAGACAGGUUAGAGACAGACAGGUUAGAGAGGCAGACAGGUUAGAGACAGACAGGUUAGAGAGAGACAGCUUAGAGACAGACAGGUUAGAGAGACAGACAGGUUAGAGAGAGACAGGUUAGAGAGAGACAGGUUAUACAGUUCUAGCACUACUGGGUUUUACUGGGUUCUGGUACCAGGUGGUUCUCCACGACUUGGUAGAACCUCAGAGUGAUUGAGGUCACAGCUCGGCUACGCAACACAAACACAUAAACAAAGGAAGUCGCUUUAACCCUAACCCAAUCAGAGGCCGGCAAUCUGUGACCAAUCAGAGGCCGGCAAUCUGUGACCAAUCAGAGGCCGGCAGGUGCCAGGUACUAACCCUCAUGGAGGGGGAGGUCCUAGUAUAAAGGGGGUUAGUGAUGUCAUUGUGUGUA